GGACUCAUGGUGUGAUAUAUAAUAAUUACUUAAAUGUUCAAAAUGCAAAAAAUCACCACAAACGCGGAAUUUCUUAUAGGCCCGAUCAUCACUAAGUGGGCAGCUGUAGUAAACUGAGGCAGGUCAAACCAUGCGCUCGGUCAACACGAACGUGUACCAACAAAUAUCGUUAGUCGACGACAGUCGCAUUUUUCGAUGAAAUUUACAUCGUAACUCGAAAUUAUCGUAAGUCGGGGCAAUCGUAAGUCGAGGUGCCACUGUAUAUGGGCAAAUGGAAGAACAAAACAUUACCAAUACCAUAAGAUAAAAUAUAUCAUGUGAAAAACUGGCCUUUUGUCAUUAUUUCACAUUUGUUAUUCAUUCUUGACAUUAUUUAUCAUUCAUUUUUGUUUUUAUUCCUUCACAUACUGUACGUGUUUGUCCCACAAUAUCAUAUAUAUAAAUAAAUGAAAAAACACAUCUGUUCUCACCACCCAACGAUGUUUGUUGAGCAUGAGUUGAGCAUUAGGUUGAACCACUCCACCUGCUCCAGGAAAAGGUUUCCUGAAGUUUCUCAACCCAUGUUCUAAAUGUGGAGUGAAUAGGGGUAAGCAUUACUGCUUAUCCACCCAGUAUGUCACCUUACGAUGGUACAAGUUGGAGCAUGGUGCAGCACACAGUGCCACACCACACAACUUGCACUUAUACCUGGUGUCCUUCCUUUUACCAGACUUGUAGCAGAUAUGACACUUUAUACCUUUCUCGAUGCGAAUUAGGGAAUGGUUCAAGUUCCUGUUCAGACGUUCGGAUUUAUCCACAACACAAGGGUUUCUCCUAGCGGCAGCACCACAAGAAGUUAUCUGACGCUCUUCUUCUGAGUCAGAUGAUGAAUUAUCAUCUCCAGGCAAAGAAGGGAAUAGUGGCCGCCUCACACCUGAUGGUCCGGGUGAUGCAACAUUGUCGCUAGUAGAUCUGCUCUCGUCGUCAUGUACAUAACCAGCAUGAAUGAUGUCAUGUUGCAGAGGCCAAUUCUUAUACUCUAACUUCAGUAGUGACCAAAUGAUUACUUCAUGGAACUGGAGCAAACAGAGUUUCUUUGUAUCAGUUGUGUAAUACUUGUAUAGCACAAAAGCAUUAUGAUAGCCAUUUGCAGAAAGUAGAACGUGAUUUUCUUUGUCCACUUGUGACAUUUCCGUGUGAAAUGAAAAUAUUUGACCAUUUGGUCGAAGUGAUCAACACUGUGCAUGUGGUUAGUGUAGUCACAGAUUGCCUUUGGUUUGUUCACAGUGACCUGUUGCAAUGAUGUUCUGUCAGGUUUGCUUACUCGUUUCCGUCGUUCUACUUCUUGUGUAUCUGCAUUGUGGCAAGUUGUGAUGAGUGAAACAACUUGCUUAUCUUCUUACAGAUUUAAUACAAUCCAGUUUUACUAGUCUCCCAGCCAUAUUGGUGUUGCCUCCAGUGACCUCGUAAAUGCCGCCACUAAGGAGACCAUUUUACCCGUCUCAUUUCCCACUAACUGCUGCUGUCACAAAAAAGGUCUCGAGGAUAGGUCACAUUUGAUAGUGUUUUGUUAUUUAUAAAAGUUAACCAUCUAUUUCUCCAACGGUUGUGGAUUGCAUCAAGAAUGAUGGAAGAAAUUCAAAAUAAGGAGGUAAGGCAAGGUAAUUAUCAGGACAUAGCACUAAGACAUUACGAGUAUACAGUAUAGUACUUGGAAGGAAUAAGAGGGAAGGAAUAGUGCCCAGCCAUUUGGAAGGUCAACGUUCAAUCCCCAACCGUCCAAGUGGUUGGGCACUAUCCCUCUGUCCUAUCCUAAAUCCAUAUCCUCAUGAAAAUUCUCGUCUAAUCUCCUACCACCAUUAUCACGUAGGUAUUUGAGGCUACAACAUCUUGUGCUAUAAGCAUUAUGAAUUUAUAUGCAGUAUUGAUUGUGCUAUAACUUUUCUGGCAUCUUUCAGUAGUGUUCUCAUAGUCAUUACUGUAUUUGGAAAGAUUGCAUAGUAUUUAUGAAUGUGCUUUAUUUUAUACAUUUGUUCUGCUCAUUUCUUAUUAAACAUUCAAUAUUUUAACUCAAGUGUGUUGCCUUAUUUGCAACUAAAUAUAACUGGCUUUUUUAUUUAGUUUUUGAGCUUAACAACUGGCUAUUUCCAUUCUCGGCAACAUUUAGAAUACUGUAUCUUUUAACAUAGAAAUAGUUGUUUUCUACCCUUGCCAUUACCUGUAAUGACUACAGUGAUCAUAAUGUACUAUACAUACUGUGCUUUGCAUCUCGGAGCUGUUAUCAUCAUUAGGUAUAUGUAAUACCUUGUUAUUAUUUCCUUCUGUUUAGCUGUAUUUAUUGAAAUAAAUUUUUUUGAGUCA